GGAAGAUCAGCUGGGAAUAAAAGCAAAAGAAGAAAUAGAUGGAACAUUUCACGCAACCACGACCUCAAAUUCGUUUAAUAAGCAAAGAUGGUGGAGAAACAAUCAAAUCAUCAAAUGAAGGCAAAAACCCUACGCCAGCCAACAGAAGUG